CCUAUUCCACGAAUUCAACGAAAUCAUUUUCCCUUUGUUCAUCAUCACAUAUUCCACUUCCAAUCUUGCCUACACUGAAACACUAAUUUUCAGGCCUUGGUUGGUCACUCAACAACCUAUCUCCUUAUGAGGAUGUAAAAAUCCGGCUACAAAUGGGAAGGGUUCAGUGCUUUCCAGGAACCAGUCCUCAGGCUUCAGAAUCACCACAAUCUUGCCUUCAACAACACUACAUACAGCCAUCGACGUAAUUUUUUAUCUUUUGAUCCAUAGUUGGGUCAAUGAUUAUAUUGAGAUGGUUCUUAGAGAGGUUUCCUAUCAACUCAAAGGUUUUGGGAGAAUGAAAAGUAGUGUGAGAUUGAUUUAAGGAGUGACACAGAGGUCAUGCAGCAGAUAAGAGUUCCUGCUAGAAGACUGUUAUUUGAAAAGGCCAAGAAGACUAUUUUUAGGUAAUUAAUUCGUAGUUUUUACAUGUAUUUCCCUUUGCAAUUUCUCAGUCCUCAUUGUGUAGUUCCAUCAUAUAUCAAGUGCUCAGUGAUGAUGACCAUUCUGUAUUAUACCUACUUACAGAUCAAUUUACCAUAUAGUUUGAAUUGCAUUUCAAGGGUUAUUGCAGCUCUCAUCUUUUCUUUUGUUUUUAUUUUAUUUAUUUUGUGCACAAUCUAUAUUGUAUAUUGUGAAUACAAUGUAUAAAUAAAAAAAAUUUCAUUCUACAUGCACUUGGAAAUUUCAUAAUUUCUGAUCUUUCUAGCCUUCUUGACAUGGUAUGCAAGAGUAUGUAGAUUUUCCAAUCAUUCAAGUUUAUUGAAGUUGUGUUAAUGGAAUUGGAUGAUUCAGGUAUAUACCUUUGGUUUUUUGGUGCCUCCUUUGGUUUUUGUCAAAAAUCUAGCAGAACUCCUGAGUUUAUUGUCUUGUUACAUGACUAGGUGACCAAGAAUUUGAAAGAUAUUCAAGGACCUGCCUUCGCUAUUGUUCUUGAACGACUCAAGCACUCUGGGGCUUUUCAAGUGGCUAAAACAAUAUCGAUGGGGCCAUCAUUGAAAAGUGGAUCAAAAGUUGGGAAAAGUGGAUCAAAAGUUCACGAACCAGACGAGCACCCUCCCCAACAUAUUUCUUAACAAGUUCACGAAGCCAAAUUGUACAAGACUACUUGGCAGUAUAAGCAUUUUUGGGAGGAUUAAAUAUUUUUGGAUGGAUGUGUAUGGAUAA